AACUUUCGACAACGGAUCUCUUGGCUCUUGCAGCGAUGAAGAACGCAGCGAACUGCGAAAAGUAAUGUGACCUGCAAACUUCGUGAAUCAUCCAAUCUUUGAACGCAACUUGCACCUGAUGGCUUUUGUCAACAGGUAUACUUGUUUGAGUAUCAUCAACACACUCUCACAACCCUGUGGGGAAUUGAGCGUCUCGACAGAGUCGCUUUAAAGACAGACCUGGUUGUGCCUCCCGACGCACGGUCUAUUGGGAUAACAUCCUAACAAUAGACUGUCGAGCAGGCCCGUUGUCUCUGACAACACGGGUACCGUCCGCAAGGACAAUUCUGACAUUGAUCUCAAAUCAAGUAAGGAUACCCGCUGGAUUUAAGCAUAUCAAUAAGCGGAGGCU
rnacentral:misc_RNA from 1 species